rnacentral:rRNA from 1 species
UACGAAGGGGGCUAGCGUUGCUCGGAAUCACUGGGCGUAAAGGGUGCGUAGGCGGUUCUUUAAGUCAGCGGUGAAAUCCUGGAGCUCAACUCCAGAACUGCCUUUGAUACUGAGGAUCUUGAGUUCGGGAGAGGUGAGUGGAACUGCGAGUGUAGAGGUGAAAUUCGUAGAUAUUCGCAAGAACACCAGUGGCGAAGGCGGCUUACUGGUCCGGAACUGACGCUGAGGUGCGAAAGCGUGGGGAGCAAACAGG